UUUACUGGCAGCUUUAAUUUUAGAUGAAAUGGUUUUUGACAGCUCAAAAGACCAAGAGAGGCUUAUCUUUUGUUUGAUUUAAGAAUUACAUUUUUCAAAAAGUUACAUGUGAAAUUGGGGUGAAAUAAUGAUUUUCUGUCUAGAAGACCAAGAGAGGUUUACCUUAGGUCUGCCUUAAGAACUACACUUUUUGAAAAAGUUGCAGUUGAAAUUGGAAUUGAAUAUUACUUAAUUGUAUGCAUUACCAUGCAUGUUAAUGAUUUAGUUGUAAGAUUUUAACUAAUUUAUUGCUUGAGCUGAGGCUAAUUUGUAACAAUUGCCCCUUGGUUUCUACUAAUUGUUUUUUUACAAGUAUCAAUUUAAUCAAUCAAGCAUCUUUGUUUUCCCUUAGAAGUGACAACUUCAUAAUUUACUCAAUCACUAUGGUGUCGACAAGUCCAUUCUACCACUUAUGCUUACACUUGAAGGUGGUAAGCGCUUGAGGUUAGGGCCCCCCCUUAGACCUAGACCUAUGCCUCAAGGGUUCAUUAUUGAUGACCUUGCCUACAUAUUUCCUCGUGAAAUCAGAGACUUUGUAGCUCACCCUUGAAGGUUAGAGGAUGUUCAUUUCUCUUCUUGUAUGAGAACUUUGAUCUCUCUUAAAACCCUAACUAUUAAUUAAUUGCAGUCUGUUAACUUAGUCUCAUUACAAUAGGAGAUAACCAUUAGCCAUCAAGUAGUGUACAAGCAUACACAAUUACAUAGGGGUAUUAUCCUUCCAUAAUUCCUAAUUCCAUAAAGAGCGUCUCAAGCACACAUCACCUAUACACAAGGUGACUGGCUCAUACAUAUCACACACAGUGACUAGCUCCAGCAUACGUCACUUAUACACAGUCGCUAAUUUCAGCAUAUGUCGUAGAUACACAAGGAAUAGCUUCAACAUACAUCACACACACAGUGACUAGCUUCAACAUACAUCACAUACAUAGUGACUAGCUUCAGCAUACACCAUAUACAUAGUGAUUAACUUCAAUGUACGCCACGUAUACACAGUGGCUAUCAUAUACAUAGUGAGAGUCUAACACAUCAACAACUAUAACCUGCCCAUGGUGCAUCCCAAAUAGAAAAGAAAUGUUGGUGCACUGCACACUACAUUGUGGGUCACAUUCCUUUCCCCAAUCUUUUGCACCAAUGAGCCACUACAAAGAGCAUUUGACGUAUCCCAUACUACAUUGAGGGUUCGCCUUCAACCCAACAAGGUCAAGUAUACCAUUUCCACAUCAAAAUAUGCCCAAAAUUAUACAAUUGAGGUUGGUCCAAUUAUUACCUACCUAUUCUUCAUUAUAAAUUCUCUUCACUACAAUCCAUUGGACGACUAAGCAAUGGGGACAUCCAUCGCUGGCAUGCAAUUGGUCCCAAGCCCACAUGCUUUUGACUUAAUCCAUCCAAUACCCUAGAUCAAUGUGGGGUAUCCCUCACCUGCAUGCAAUUGGCAGUGUCCAUCUGAUAACAAGGUUGUAUGGCUGCCCAAAAUCUUCUCUCCUAUAUCAUCGAAAUACCUUCAACCUUGAUGGAUGUCCAUACCCUAUUCCAAGCUCUCCUAGUAUAGCAGGUAGAGAUGAUAAGCUACAAUUGUCUUUUAUGGCUUCACACCCACCAAUUGCUUUUUCUUUAAAGUUUCUACGACUUUCAACAAAUCUAUUUGUGCCAAUAAUCCUCUCAUCCAUUUCUUCUUCUUCUUUAAGCGUAAUGGGGGUCUAUCAUUGGUUUAAAAAGCUCACUCUCUAUUCUCUUUUGAUGGACAUCCAUAGCCAGUCUACGAAUCCCAUUAUGGUGUAGACUUGGACAAUGUGGGCAAUGGCUAUGGAAUUUGGCUUUACAUUGCCAAUCGUAUUUUUCUAGAAGUUUCUAAAGCCUUUUCAACAAAUACAAUUUUGGGCCAUAUCUUGCGAUUGUUGCAUUCCAUGAGAUUACAUUUCUUUUAGGCUUUCAGUUAAACAAUUCACAUGCUUUGACUAUGCCCCCACAUUCUGCAUGCAGGUCUACUAGAGCAGCUACAACUACCACAUUGUUUUUCUUGCCCAUAUUCUCUCCUAGUCGAGUUUCAUGGGUAUUUAUACCAUUUAGAUACUCUCCUUCAAAAUUGGUUAAAAGCACAUUUUAUGAGGUCAUUUGUCAUGGUUUGGGUCUUCCAUGCUAGUUAUACCGUCCGACUGCCAUUUUCUACUCUCGAGAUGGUCGCCGUGCCCUCUCUAUAGCAGCCAUGUCCCUUCAUACAACUACACCUCUAAUCCUACUCACCUAUGGCAUACCCUCUUGACAGUCCUUUCAGUUUGCUUUAUUUUUAUUUAUUUAAGACCCCGUUAGAUGGGCUUGAUGUGGGGAUGUGAUAUAAUUGACAUCCUUCAUUAAUUGUAUUUUCUAGAUAGAAGAUAUGAAUUAUAUUGGGUAAAUGUUUGUGACAUUUUCUUUCAUCAAAUAAGUGGCUAUAGAUGCAUCUUAUAUUUCUCUAUAAAAGAAAUGAUAUAAACAUUAUAUUUGUUAUGUUGAUUCUGUAAACAAGAGAAUGCAGUUUCUGGAUUUAAUUGUGUACAAGUUUUUUGCAUAAAAAACAUACACAAUUAAAUCCAGAAGCAUUCUCUUGUUUAUAUGAUAGAUUAUGGAAAUCUUUUAGAAAUGUUGAUUCUAAUUUAAUUUUCUUUCAUGUAAGUAGGAUGAAUCUAUUUUGUUUUGAUAUGAUAUUUCUAUAUGUAAGGUUGAUUUAAUUAAUUUAAUAGAUAAUAACAAUAUGAACAAUAUUUCUAUAUGGAAGGCAGAGGAACAAUAUGUUAAUGGAUAUAUCACCAUUUUGAAAGGAGGAGAUGCAAACACAAUCAUGAAGUCAUCUUCUCCAUUGAAAUGGUUAGCAAACUAUCUUUCUUAGUUCAAAGUGUAGAGUUCACACCCUGAAUUUUGUAUUUUCUCAAGAUUACAAUUCCACAUCCAUGUAAAUCUUUUAUAACUAUGUUUUUUAACAAUUUAGAGGGUUCCAUGGGUUCCACAUCCAUGUUUAUCUUUAAUUAGAAAGAUAUUUUCAAUAAAUUUAGAAGGUUUCCAUGGGUUCUACAUCCAUGUUUAUCUUUUAUUAGAAAGAUACAAGGAAAAAUGUAUUUUCUCACUGAAAAACAUAAACGGCUACUCCCUCUUCUUCAUGGCCUUUGCUCUUUAAAGAAUUGGAUUCUAUAUUCUUCAGAGGGGAUGCCAAUUCAUCAGUUUUGUAAGUGUAAUCUGUCCUCCCCAAUUCAUUCUAAUUCAUUUUGAAUUAUCCCAAUAGUUAUACUUUUUAAUGAAAUCAGUAAUCUAUGGAGAACGUCUGGAGAGGGUUACCUGAGGCUUGGCUUAAGACAUGCAUUUUUGAGGGCAGGAAAAGAAAUAUUCUUCAGAGGGGAUGCCAAUUCAUCAGUUUUUAAUCUAUGGAGAAUGUCAGGAGAGGGUUACCCGAGGCUUGGCUUAAGACAUGCAUUUUUGAGAAUAGGGCUGCCCUUCUGAUACUUGGGAUUUCCAGGAGCACAAGGCAUGUGAACAACAAUAAAGCAGUGUUGUAUCAGUUGAUAGAGGAGCCUGGUUUUGGAUCCCUAAUUCUUCAAUUUGUGGGUUAUACUCAAAUUAUGGAUCCACAUAUUCUGUUAUACGACUGAAUCAAGACUGCUUUUUGAUGCUAAAGAUUUAUAGGAGGGGAAGGCAAAGGAAAAAUUAAAUAAUAGAUAUAUCACCACUUUGGAGGGUAGGAGAUGCAAAUACAAUCAUAAAGUCAUCUUCUCCAUUGAAAUGAGCAGGGAAGGAAAUAUUCUUCGGAGGAGAUAUCAAUUCAUCAAUUCUGAGAGACUUACCAUUGGCUUGGCUUAGGACCUGCAAUUUUUGAGAGUUAUAUCAGCUGGUAGAGGAGCCCUGUUUUGGAUCUCUAAUUCUUCAAUUUGUGGGAGGCAAAGGAACAACAAGAUAGCAUGGCAUGGCAAUCAUAGUCACCUUCUUUAUUGAAAUGGUCACUAGAAGAUUGGGAGAGGCUUACCUAUUGCUUGGCUUAAGACCUACAUUUUUGUGAG